GAUGGAGUGGUCAACGGUCACGUACGCGCCAAUACGGGGUUCGGUUCUUGAUUCCGUUAAUUUUCUUUAUUAUUACUAUGCAACGAAAGGCGUUUCGAUUUAAUCAAACAGGUAUGGAGUCGUUGACGGUACUGGAUGUUGGCAUGAGGCAGUAUCACUUGGCAUAUCUCUUGGAUUCGAUUCUACUCUGCUGGUUAAUACAGAUCGAGAUGAGUUCGACAUCCAUUUCGUCAGUUUGAUGUAGCUGAGCUGUCGAUGAGUAUUCGAUGGAAGCUGUAUCUUGUAUGAAAAUAAUGAAAGCAUCCGAGAAGUAGAUGAGUGUUUGUGGAUGUAAAAGAUAUCGGUAUUAGACCUCUUUUUUUGAGGAGGUCAAAUCCUGGUAGCUCUUUGUCAUCCGGCCUUUGCCAUGACAGGUGCGCUUGCAUGGCAGGUCAUACAUAAUAAAAAAAUUGUAUCUUUUGGUUUCGAGGGGAGAUCGCACGGGGAUUGCCCGGGGUCUCUUCCCUCUCUGGUCUGUUUUCCCCUCUUGCUCUCUUUUUCUGCGUUCGUUUCUGCAACUUCAACCACAGAAACUACUCCGUUCAUAGCGUUUGGCCUGAUCGAACUCCCGACAUGCAAGGUACACGACUUUACAUUUUGAGGUGCGUAAAAAAUGGUAAUUAUUACAUUUGAGCAUUAAAACUACCAUUACGAGGAAGAUUACGCAACAAAUUUUUUUAUAAUUAGUAAUCAGACCUUUUUGGGGAUUUUCUAAUGACAGUUUUCGCAGUAGGAGGGAUUUCACCAAACUACCCUCACUUUUUGCUAAGGUAAAGUACUGAGUAGGUGGUAAUAAAUGGUAUUUAAAUUUUAAAAUUGUUCAUUCGCUCUUGGUUAAUAUUUCCACUUGUAUUGUCCUGUGUUAUUCUUCACCUAGCUAUAGAUUAACGAUCGACGCAUAUGUUCCUACGGUUGGAAUUUUAACAUAACGGUUUUUUAAAUAUGCUUUAUUAGUCAUUUUAGGGCCAAGUUUUUUCUUCCAUAUCGUUAAACUAUUGAUGGUUGGAACCGUUCUAUUCCUUACCCUCUUAUUAAUUAUUUUAAUUGAUAUUGUCCACAUCGAUCAACCUGUGUAAGGUAUUAGUAUGAAGUCUGUAUUGCUCUUGGGACGUUGAACUUUGUAGUUCUUCAGUAGUUUUCUGGGUUGUUUGAUUGUUAGUAGAUAGGGUCCAAAUCGAUGUAUAUGGCGUUACUAGAAGUACGAUGCAUCGGCUGCAAUUGGUGUCAGACGCAAUCAACUUUUCCAAGAUGGGGUGGGUGUGACAGAGUCAAUUUUGUCUUCAGCUCUGCUACAACAUGAAGAUUGUUACAAUCUUUCUGGUUGAUCGUGAUUGAAUUAUCAUUCAUGUCUUGGAUUUUUUUAAGUAGCUGUUUGAAAAUCUUCGGAUAUAAUUGUGCGCCGUACUGUUUAUUUUUGCUGUUCCUCUGUAAAUCCUUAGACUUAAUAUUAUUAUUUAUAGUAAUCAGAUAGUUUACUUUCCGAGUAAAUGUUUCAUAAAAGAUGUUUUUUUCUUGAA